rnacentral:rRNA from 1 species
UACGGGGGGGAGCAAGCGUUGUUCGGAUUUACUGGGCGUAAAGGGCGCGUAGGCGGUCGUGACAAGUCACUUGUGAAAUCUCCGGGGCUUAACUCGGAACGGUCAAGUGAUACUGUCGGACUAGAGUACAGAAGGGGCAACUGGAAUUCUCGGUGUAGCGGUGAAAUGCGUAGAUAUCGAGAGGAACACCUGCGGCGAAGGCGGGUUGCUGGGCU